AUUGAACGCUGGCGGCAGGCCUAACACAUGCAAGUCGAGCGGAUGAAGGGAGCUUGCUCCUGGAUUCAGCGGCGGACGGGUGAGUAAUGCCUAGGAAUCUGCCUGGUAGUGGGGGAUAACGUCCGGAAACGGGCGCUAAUACCGCAUACGUCCUGAGGGAGAAAGUGGGGGAUCUUCGGACCUCACGCUAUCAGAUGAGCCUAGGUCGGAUUAGCUAGUUGGUGGGGUAAAGGCCUACCAAGGCGACGAUCCGUAACUGGUCUGAGAGGAUGAUCAGUCACACUGGAACUGAGACACGGUCCAGACGCCUACGGGAGGCAGCAGUGGGGAAUAUUGGACAAAGGGCGAAAGCCUGAUCCAGCCAUGCCGCGUGUGUGAAGAAGGUCUUCGGAUUGUAAAGCACUUUAAGUUGGGAGGAAGGGCAGUAAGUUAAUACCUUGCUGUUUUGACGGUACCAACAGAAUAAGCACCGGCUAACUUCGUG
rnacentral:rRNA from 1 species